GACGAACGCUGGCGGCAUGCCUAAUACAUGCAAGUCGAGCGAACAGAUGAAGUGCUUGCACUUCUGACGUUAGCGGCGAACGGGUGAGUAACACGUAAGGAAUCUACCUAUAAGCGGGGGAUAACAUUCGGAAACGGGUGCUAAUACCGCAUAAUAUCUUCUUCCGCAUGGAAGAAGAUUGAAAGACGGCUCUGCUGUCACUUAUAGAUGACCUUGCGGUGCAUUAGUUAGUUGGUGGGGUAAUGGCCUACCAAGACGAUGAUGCAUAGCCGACCUGAGAGGGUGAUCGGCCACAUUGGGACUGAGACACGGCCCAAACUCCUACGGGAGGCAGCGGUAGGGAAUCUCCCGCAAUGGGCGAAAGCCUGACGGAGCAAUGCCGCGUGAGUGAAGAAGGCCUUCGGGUCGUAAAACUCUGUUAUAAGAGAAGAACAAAUUGUAGAGUAACUGCUACAGUCUUGACGGUAUCUUAUCAGAAAGCCACGGCUAACCACGUGCCAGCCGCCGCCGUAA
rnacentral:rRNA from 1 species